CUGGCUCAGGAUGAACGCUAGCGGCAGGCUUAACACAUGCAAGUCGAGGGGCAGCGGGGAGGAAGCUUGCUUUCUCCGCCGGCGACCGGCGCACGGGUGAGUAACACGUAUGCAACCUGCCCCUGUCAGGGGGACAACCCGCCGAAAGGCGGGCUAAACCCGCGUACAUGCCACCGGGGCAUCCCGGAGGCAGGAAAGGCUUCGGCCGGACAGGGAUGGGCAUGCGGCGCAUUAGGCAGUAGGCGGGGUAACGGCCCACCUAACCGACGAUGCGUAGGGGUUCUGAGAGGAAGGUCCCCCACACUGGUACUGAGACACGGACCAGACUCCUACGGGAGGCAGCAGUGAGGAAUAUUGGUCAAUGGUCGGGAGACUGAACCAGCCAAGCCGCGUGAGGGAUGAAGGUACAGAGUAUCGUAAACCUCUUUUGUCAGGGAACAAAGGCGGGGACGUGUCCCCGGAUGAGUGUACCUGAAGAAAAAGCAUCGGCUAACUCCGUGCCAGCAGCCGCGGUAAUACGGAGGAUGCGAGCGUUAUCCGGAUUUAUUGGGUUUAAAGGGUGCGCAGGCGGUCUGUUAAGUCAGCGGUCAAAGCCCGGGGCUCAACCCCGGCCCGCCGUUGAAACUGGCAGUCUCGAGUUGGAGAGAAGUAUGCGGAAUGCGCGGUGUAGCGGUGAAAUGCAUAGAUAUCGCGCAGAACUCCGAUUGCGAAGGCAGCAUGCCGGCUCCACACUGACGCUGAGGCACGAAAGCGUGGGUAUCGAACAGGAUUAGAUACCCUGGUAGUCCACGCAGUAAACGAUGAAUGCUGGCUGUCCGGGGGGGAUUGACCCCUGGGUGGCGAAGCGAAAGCGAUAAGCAUUCCACCUGGGGAGUACGCCGGCAACGGUGAAACUCAAAGGAAUUGACGGGGGCCCGCACAAGCGGAGGAACAUGUGGUUUAAUUUGAUGAUACGCGAGGAACCUUACCCGGGCUCAAACGGGGAGUGACUCAGGCAGAGACGCCUGUUUUCCACGGGACACUCCCCGAGGUGCUGCAUGGUUGUCGUCAGCUCGUGCCGUGAGGUGUCGGCUUAAGUGCCAUAACGAGCGCAACCCCCGCGUGCAGUUGCUAACAGAUAACGCUGAGGACUCUGCACGGACUGCCGGCGCAAGCCGCGAGGAAGGCGGGGAUGACGUCAAAUCAGCACGGCCCUUACGUCCGGGGCGACACACGUGUUACAAUGGGUGGUACAGCGGGAAGCCAGGCGGCGACGCCGAGCGGAACCCGAAAUCCACUCUCAGUUCGGAUCGGAGUCUGCAACCCGACUCCGUGAAGCUGGAUUCGCUAGUAAUCGCGCAUCAGCCAUGGCGCGGUGAAUACGUUCCCGGGCCUUGUACACACCGCCCGUCAAGCCAUGGGAGCCGAGGGCGCUUGAAGUGCGUCGCCGCGAGGCGCGCCCUAGAGCGAAAUCGGUGACUGGGGAUAAGUCGUAACAAGGU
rnacentral:rRNA from 1 species